UCCUUUCUAAUUCUAUUUCCAUGGUGCAACAAAUAAAAGUUAGAGAGAGAGAGAAAGAAUAGCCCAACUCUAAAUCCAAAGCCAUGGAAUGGAAGAACAACACAAAAUAUAUGGAGGAGGGUGCCACAUGAUGCACAGUCACAGUGCCUUUCUUUCUGCAGUAUAAGAGUGAGAGUGUGGCUGUGUCCUUUCAUUUUUUCUUCGUGUUUUGUAUAUUUGUGUAGAUGGGAUGUUCUUCCUCCUCCUCCUCCUGCUUUUCCUCUUCUUCUACUUCACGCUUUUAUUAUUUUUAUGUUUUGUAUGAAAACAGAAGCUGAAAGAUCGGGUAUUUAGGCCUCUUUUUGGGGAAGAUAUAGCGGUGAAUCUUGUGAAGCUUGUGUGUCUUUUCUUUUCCUUCGAUUCUCUCUCUUUUAUCUGCUCUUGCACCCUCAUGAGGAUCCGCAAAAGCCAUGCGUUUUUAUCUUCCCCCCACUUUCCGCCCACUCCUCCGUCAGAUCCCCACCGCUCACCAGGGCUGGUGCAACUCACCACCGCAAAUCUCCACCACCGACAACGUGGCUCCGAUCAUGGUGCUCAACCGUCUGAUCAACCUAUCAACGGCUGGGAUGAUUCCUCCGGUGAGAGUGGGGCACACAGACAGCACAUCAAGCAAGACCCUUCGGUGGAGGAUGAUUAUGAUUAUGAUGAUGGAAGAAGAGAAGACAGUGGUGAAGACUCGGAGGACAAGAAAAGUAAUCAUUCCAGGAAAGGAAACAUCUUUGGUUCUUCUCAAACACUGCCACCAGCACCACCGUUAAACCUUUAUUCUUCGACUCCUCUUCAAGUAUUGUAUGCAGAUGAGAGAUGGUGUGAGGAAGAGAAAGCGAUUCCUUUCAAGAAACGAAGAGGGAGCUUUGACAACAUGGGAAUGAGUGAUGGUAAGAAGACGAAGGCGAGGAUGAAGACGAAGAUGAACAACAAGUGCAGUAAUAACAACAAGAGUGAAGAGGAGAAGGUGAAAGGGAAGAAGAAGAAGAAGGGGAGGGGCAGUGCAGUAAUGGAAGGCUCACGGUGCAGUCGUGUGAAUGGAAGAGGUUGGAGGUGUUGCCAACAAACUCUUGUUGGUUACUCCCUCUGUGAGCAUCACUUGGGCAAAGGAAGACUCAGAAGCAUGACAAGUGUUCGAAACCGUUCUACAACAACAAAGGUGGUGGUGCAACAACAACAACAACAUGCUCAUGAUCGUGGUAAUAAUAAUAAUAAUCCUUCAUCUUCUUCUUCUUCUGAUAAGCUCAGCGUGAAGACGAUAAUGGGUGGUGGUAGUAGCAACAAGAGGAAGAUGAAGCAGCUUGGAAUGGUGAAAGCUCGAUCCAUAAACAGCUUACUGGGCCAAACAACUAACACACCCAUUGCGCACACUUAGCUUCAUUGUUAUUUCAUGUCGAACCAUUAUGUGUUUUAUAUCAUAUAUUAUAUUACAUAUACUUGGUGCAACUCAAAAGUUCUUCGUUGCUGAUGAAUUCAUGAAUAAUUUUGACGUGAUUCCCAUGAAUUAAUUGCACCGUUUCGAUUGUGGAUGGUCUUUACAUUCAUGUAUCUACUCUAUUAUUAAAUGAAUUAUAAAACGUAUUUUACGUGAA